CAACAGGGAUUGCCUCAGUAACGGCGAGUGAAGCGGCAAAAGCUCAAAUUUGAAAUCUGGCACCUUCGGUGUCCGAGUUGUAAUUUGAAGAAGGUAACUUUGGAGUUGGCUCUGUCUAUGUUCCUUGGAACAGGACGUCACAGAGGGUGAGAAUCCCGUGCGAUGAGAUGUCCAACUCUAUGUAAAGUGCUUUCGAAGAGUCGAGUUGUUUGGGAAUGCAGCUCUAAGUGGGUGGUAAAUUCCAUCUAAAGCUAAAUAUUGGCGAGAGACCGAUAGCGAACAAGUACAGUGAUGGAAAGAUGAAAAGAACUUUGAAAAGAGAGUGAAAAAGUACGUGAAAUUGUUGAAAGGGAAGGGCUUGAGAUCAGACUUGGUAUUUUGCAAGCCUUACCUUCGUGGUGGGGUCCCCUGCAGUUUACUGGGCCAGCAUCGGUUUGGAUGGUAGGAUAAUGACUUGGGAAUGUGGCUUUGCUUCGGUAAAGUGUUAUAGCCCUUGUUGAUACUACCUGUCUAGACCGAGGACUGCGUCUUUGACUAGGAUGCUGGCAUAAUGAU
rnacentral:rRNA from 1 species